UACGAACCGUACAAACGUUAUUCGGAAUCACUGGGCUUAAAGGGUGCGUAGGCGGCCAUGUAAGUGAGGUGUGAAAUCCCUCGGCUCAACCGAGGAACUGCGCUUCGUACUGCAUGGCUUGAGGGAGACAGGGGUAAGCGGAACUGAUGGUGGAGCGGUGAAAUGCGUUGAUAUCAUCAGGAACACCGGUGGCGAAAGCGGCUUACUGGGUCUCUUCUGACGCUGAGGUACGAAAGCUAGGGUAGCGAACGGG
rnacentral:rRNA from 1 species